UAGUAGAGAGCUGACUUUAGAGGGAUCAAGAAUAGCUUGCUGGAUGGAAGGAGCUUGGGGCCAGUCAUCAUCUUAAAGGCUCUGUGGCAGCUUGGACUUGAAGUAGGGUGCACCCGGAAUUGACCAAUACAAACAGUGGACUGCACUGGAUUCUUCUUGUGCCCUGUCUCAUAUCCUCUUGUCCCACCUUUUCAUAACAGCCAUUGCCAUGGGAACCAGCUGCAUCCAGGCUAGAGCAAAAGGAGGUACAAAACCAAAUGCUAAGAAGCUGCUGCAUUUACUGAGAUAACCGUCUUCAGCUAAUGUGAAGCACCUACAACUUACAUAGAAGGGACCGCAGAGAAAGCCCAGGGAAGAGCCAAGGCCCUUGAGAGAAGGAGCUGGAUCCCAGAAUCUAUGGAAUUGAAGGAGAGUCCCACAGAAGUUACCUUCUGAGCACGCAAUGGACUUUGUGUAAGCAGAAGAAUAAACUUUUACCAUGAAUCGGAGAAUGCCAUUUGCUGAAUAAUGGAACUCAUCUCAUGUUUUAAAAUCCUAUGUGCAUAUAAGGUUGUGUGCGGAUACAAGGUUAUUUUUUUCAUUGAAGUACCUCCAACCUAAAGCUCAGAAACAGGUGUGAUAUAGCACUCCUAUAAAAGGUAAAAAAAAAA
rnacentral:lncRNA from 1 species